CGGUUUCAUUUUCGAGCUGCACGAUGUCUUGUUCGUGCCUCUUUGUACCAUUUUGCCACUGAGAAAUUAUUCAUUCGUGAAAAUCCCGUUUGAGAAUCCACACGAAACCCACUUCACAAGGCCAAAAGGUGCCGUUACCUGGCUGAUUACGGCGAACAUAAAAUAAGCAUUAGACCAUUCCGUGAUUCACAUCUGUUGUCAUCUAAUCUCGUCAAGUAAACACAGUCAAAAUGUCUCACGACAAAACUUCGGCCUUGAGCAUUAUCAUCUACAACACACUUGUGAUGUUUUGCCUACCUUAAUCGAUUCUUGGUAUUGAGGAAAUGUCUCGCUAGACAUUGACAAUGACGCAGUCAGGAUUCCCGUGAGCAUUUGUUUAGAAAAUGUGUAAACAUCCAGGAACUUUUAUCCCGUAUCAUAUUGAACAAAUAAAGAAACCCACAUAUCUCGAGACGCAGUAACGGCUUGUGUAUUGAAAAUUGAUGAAAAGAAACACUCCCACUUGACAAUGAGAAAAGUUGAUUACAGAAGGCUUACAGAGAUAAUUCACCUUUUUUCCUGGACGACGUUCUCGGCGUAGUUUGCAACAAUGUCUGCUUCUCCGGAUUGUUGUGAUUCUGAAGAUUUCCUGAGUGGCUCGAAAAAAGAAAAUAGUUUCGUGUUUAGUUCGAGAAGUCUUUGAACAAUUCAGUGGAGAUAAAAGUUAGGAUUUCAGGGCGAUUUCUAGUUGAUUUUAUCUUCAGCCCUACUCUCCGAUUAAUGGAAAACUUAGAAUUCUCUGUAACUUCUCUUUCGAAAAAUGGUUUUGAGAGAAACUAGUAGUUUCUAGUAUCACCGAAAAAUGCUGAAUUAUUGUUGUCACCUUGCUUACUAAUUUUAGCCCAUUAUCCGAAAUUGGUAUUGAUUUUUUGGGUUAAUCAUUUGCAUGUUUUUGUCUCCUUUUUGCGAACCCUGCCUCCUUCCUGGGAUUUUCCUGAAAAUAGUUGGCCUUGAAUAUUUUUGCUUUGGGUUGACACGUACCACAACUAAAUUACUGAUGAAUAUUAUGCAAAAAAUUUUCCACCCCUUCCCCUCUACCGUUUUCACAAUUUGCGUGUUUCUUACCCUGCCUACCUCAACCUUAAAACUAAACUUGAUGAAUUUCGUCGUACAACCUUUUUUUUUUGUUUUGUGAUACCCACGUUUUUCCUAGAGUAACUCAAACGGACGUGUAGCUGACUAUGUAAACGUUGACACUUGAAUGUGUUAAGAGCUUAAGACAAUCCUUCAAAAAUCAA